rnacentral:rRNA from 1 species
CACAUGCAAGUCGAACGGCAGCACGGGAGCAAUCCUGGUGGCGAGUGGCGAACGGGUGAGUAAUAUAUCGGAACGUGCCCAGUAAUGGGGGAUAGCCCGGCGAAAGCCGGAUUAAUACCGCAUACGACCUACGGGUGAAAGCGGGGGAUCGCAAGACCUCGCGUUAUUGGAGCGGCCGAUAUCAGAUUAGCUUGUUGGCGGGGUAAAAGCCCACCAAGGCGACGAUCUGUAGCUGGUCUGAGAGGACGACCAGCCACACUGGGACUGAGACACGGCCCAGACUCCUACGGGAGGCAGCAGUGGGGAAUUUUGGACAAUGGGCGCAAGCCUGAUCCAGCCAUGCCGCGUGUGGGAAGAAGGCCUUCGGGUUGUAAACCACUUUUGUCAGGGAAGAAACGGCCUUUACUAAUAUUAGGGGCUAAUGACGGUACCUGAAGAAUAAGCACCGGCUAACUACGUGCCAGCAGCCGCGGUAAUACGUAGGGUGCAAGCGUUAAUCGGAAUUACUGGGCGUAAAGCGUGCGCAGGCGGCUUUGCAAGACAGAUGUGAAAUCCCCGGGCUCAACCUGGGAACUGCACUUGUGACUGCAUGGCUAGAGUACGGUAGAGGGGGAUGGAAUUCCGCGUGUAGCAGUGAAAUGCGUAGAUAUGCGGAGGAACACCGAUGGCGAAGGCAAUCCCCUGGACCUGUACUGACGCUCAUGCACGAAAGCGUGGGGAGC